AUGGCUUCAGUGGCCUGGGCCGUCCUCAAGGUGCUGCUGCUUCUCCCCACUCAGACUUGGAGCCCCUUGGGAGCAGGAAAUCUAUUCAGGCUGCCUGGGCAACAGCUCUGGCUCUGGAUGUAAAAGCCCCCUGGGAGGGUUUCAGGGCUGCCUAAGGCUCAUCACCAUUGGUGACAAAGCGGUGGAUCCCAUCUUAGUACAGCAGGGGGCGCUGGGGAGUUUCAGGGACCUCCAGAUAGACUCCUGCGGCAUCACAGACAAGGUGCUUGCCCAGCUACUGUGAGCAUGGGGGCGAGUGUUCCCAGUCGUGGGACACCUUCUCCUGUGAUUGUCUGGGCACAGGCUAUACGGGCGAGACCUGCCAUU
rnacentral:lncRNA from 1 species